rnacentral:rRNA from 1 species
GACGAACGCUGGCGGCGUGCUUAACACAUGCAAGUCGAACGAAGCUUGAUUACGGAUUCUUCGGAUGAAGUAUGAUAUGACUGAGUGGCGGACGGGUGAGUAACGCGUGAGUAACCUGCCCUUCAGAGGGGGAUAGCGUUCGGAAACGAACGGUAAUACCGCAUAAUGUAUUUUGACCGCAUGAUCGAAAUACCAAAGAUUUAUCGCUGAAGGAUGGACUCGCGUCUGAUUAGGUAGUUGGUGGGGUAACGGCCUACCAAGCCGACGAUCAGUAGCCGGACUGAGAGGUUGAUCGGCCACAUUGGGACUGAGACACGGCCCAGACUCCUACGGGAGGCAGCAGUGGGGAAUAUUGCACAAUGGGCGCAAGCCUGAUGCAGCAACGCCGCGUGAAGGAAGACGGUUUUCGGAUUGUAAACUUCUGUUCUUAGUGAAGAAUAAUGACGGUAGCUAAGGAGCAAGCCACGGCUAACUACGU